UGAGGAAUAUUGGUCAAUGGCCGGAAGGCUGAACCAGCCAAGCCGCGUGGAGGAAGAAGGCGCAGAGCGUCGCAGACUCCUUUUGUCGGGGGACAAACGGCCGCACGCGUUCGGCCCUGAGGGUACCCGAAGAAAAAGCAUCGGCUAACUCCCUUCCAGCAGCCGCGGUAAUACGGAGGAUGCGAGCGUUAUCCGGAUUCAUUGGGUUUAAAGGGUGCGUAGGCGGCGUCUUAAGCCGGCGGUGAAAUCGCGGGGCUCAACCCCGCCGAGCCGUCGGAACUGGGAUGCUCGAGUGUCGGCGAGGCAUGCGGAAUGCGCGGUGUAGCGGUGAAAUGCAUAGAUAUCGCGCAGAACCCCGAUUGCGAAGGCAGCGUGCCAGCCGCCCACUGACGCUGAGGCACGAAAGCGCGGGUAUCGAACAGG
rnacentral:rRNA from 1 species